rfam:Phyllobacterium sp. YR531 PMI41_contig_4.4, whole genome shotgun sequence.
CGUCAAGGGUUGAUUGAGCCCAGCGUCGUUUUGGCGAGCGGAUUUCUUUUGCCUGAUUGAAAGGUAGAGGACGAUG